UUUUGGUCUAGUGGUUAGGAUUUGGCGCUCUCACUACCAUGGCCCGGGUUCCAUUCCCCGAACAAA